rnacentral:misc_RNA from 1 species
UCCCCGUUGCCGAGGCAGUCUCGUUAGAAAAAUACAACUAAAGAUGAGGGUUGCGCUCGUUGAAGGACUUAACCUAACAUCUCACGACACGAGCUGACGACGGCCAUGCAUCACCUGUCACUGGUCCAACUAAAUGACUUUUCUAUCUCUAGAAAAUAUGACCAGGAUGUCAAGUCUGGGUAAGGUUCUUCGCGUAGCCUCGAAUUAAACCACACGCUCCACCGCUUGUGCGGGUCCCCGUCAAUUCCUUUGAGUUUUAGUCUUGCGACCGUACUCCCCAGGCGGGAUGCUUAACGCGUUAGCUUUACUACUGAACGGGUCGAUACGUCCAACAGUUAGCAUCCAUCGUUUACGGCGUGGACUAC